rnacentral:lncRNA from 1 species
CUGAACUGUUUUCUCCGUUUUUUUCAAUCUCAUAAUCAAACUGGGCAUGGUCCAGCUUCGUGUGCAUGAUCCUUUUCAGAAUCUCACGUUAACAAAGCACAUGUACGGUAAUGAUACUGCAACAAUCUAACAUUUCCAAGACCACGAGGGGAUACAUCUGGAUCGAAGCACCAACACAUUACAUAGAAAUUACACAGCAGGGCACACCGGCACACACCAGUUCAUGGCUACUCUGCUCGCGGCAACAUGCAUCCACGACACACGGUUACAAACUGUGUAGACGAUUCCUAAACACCAUAAAUGACUCGAGACACAGGCACAACUCGAUCUAGCCCACACUCGAUCUAGCUUCAAAUACCAAACCAGUAGCAUUAUUUUAUUACUCUCAAUCAGCCAUGAUGCAUUCCUCGCACAGGACGACGCCUCAGUUAAU